CAGCCGCCACGGUAAUACGAAGGGUGCAAGCGUUAAUCGGAAUUACUGGGCGUAAAGCGUGCGUAGGCGGUGAGUUAAGUCUGCUGUGAAAUCCCCGGGCUCAACCUGGGAAUGGCAGUGGAUACUGGCUCGCUAGAGUGUGUCAGAGGAUGGUGGAAUUCCCGGUGUAGCGGUGAAAUGCGUAGAGAUCGGGAGGAACAUCAGUGGCGAAGGCGGCCAUCUGGGACAACGCUGACGCUGAGGCACGAAAGCGUGGGGAGCAAACAGGAUUAGAUACCCCCGUAGUCCCUGUCUCUUAUAC
rnacentral:rRNA from 1 species